rnacentral:misc_RNA from 1 species
AAGUCGUAACAAGGUUUCCGUAGGUGAACCUGCGGAAGGAUCAUUACAAAUCCGUCACAUUAUGACACGUUGCAAUGUUGGAGAGUCAGGGGGGGGGAGGAGAGAGAGAGAGUGAGAGAAUAUUUCUCUUUUUUUCUUCUUCUUCUUCUUCUUCUUCUGAAACUCUUCACCCUUUUACUAUUAUGUUUGUUGAUCAGUUUUAUUUUUUAAUCACAUACUGUAACACAACUUAUAACAAUGGAUCUCUAGGCUCUU